UCAUUGCGCUUACUCUACGAUAAUCAGAAAGUCUGUUAGCUCGAUGAUAAAGAAAUAUUUGUCGAGAGAUCUUGCGAUGCAGUUUAUGGCAAUGAAAACGGUCCAACGAAAGAACUUUUCAAAGAGUGCCACCUGUGUUCACGUAUCACGGAUUUGAUUUCUGAACGAUACAAAAUAUAUGAGGAAGAUACACUGGUAUACAUCGGUUCAGUGUUGAGCAACGCGAAAGAUUGGGAUGGAAACAGAAAGAUUAAAGUGAACCACUGACACGUUUGACUUUUUUCAAAAAUAUUUAUAUACAGUUUAUUAUUAAAUACGUUACAAGUAUAUUUAUUGAGGCGAAAGAUGACAAAGACUUUCAAAAUCUCUGAAAAAUGAUAAUUGUUUUGAAAUAUUUUGCAUAGUUCAACUUUCAUUCAAAUGACCGACCAAGAAGGAAAAGAAGAAUACAUUUCAAUGGGCAGUUAGAUGGAAAGGAAUAAAGUAAGAAGAAGUCAAAGAGUAUAAAUAUUUGGGAUAUAUCUUGCAAACGAAUGGAGAUCAUACAGCUCAUAUAAGAG